GGAACACCCACAUGAUACUGGUAUGGAAGACAGCCACUAAAGGUGGAAUUAACCCCCCAAAAACUGCAGUGUUUUCAGUUGAGGGUUAAAAGGUGAGGAGCACUGCAGCCAAACCCUUCAAAUUACUCCAUGGAGCUUAUGUCUACCUUGCACAUGGUGUACACAUCAGUUUCUUGGACACAGUGCUAAAUUCAUCAGAACCAACAAUGACCCUACAAGGACAUUGCUGGUUCUCAUGGUUAACUUGUGGUAAAAACGACAGUUUUCUAUACUGUGAUACUUAAGGCAGACGAGGUAUUGUACGAGUUGCAGUUUAAAAAGCUGACAAUCUGCCCUUUGGUCACCCCUGCUGUACACUGC